UGUAGGGGGGGAGGCCUGGAUCAUGACACCGCAGAGGAAGGACGGGCAAAGGGUUAGGGUGUGAGGUCGAACAUCAGGAUGGUGGCUUGGGGUCAGAGAUCAAGGUGCAUCAGGGUCUUGGGAAUCAAAGGGGGUAAGGGAUUGGUCAGAGAUUCAGUUGGAGGUCAGAGUGUGUCGGGGUCAACAUACUGGAGCAAAAGGCAUAGAUAAAUAGGAUCUGGGCAUCAAGGGUCAUCUGGGCAUGGGCUGGGGUUAGAGGUCAUGGGACCCAGUUGUUGCACAAUCUGGUCAGAAUCUGAGGGUGGAAAUCAGGAUUCUAUCAGAACUCAGAAAUCACAUAUCAAAGAUUGGGAGUCACAGGGUUUGGGGCCAGAGGUUUGGGGUCACGGAGUCCGGGGUCAAAUAAACUAGGAUCAGAGGAUACUUUGGAGUUGGAGCCAAUGAAGCGAAGGUUUAGGGGAUGCAGAGCUAAGGCUGGGGGUUAAGGAGAAGACAAGGACGUGGGGUCAGGAGGCAGACAGAAGACUUGAGGUCAAGCUGGGAUAAGGUAAUAAGAUUCAAGUUCAAAGGUCACAGCAUCUGGGACUGAGGAAGAAGACCCAUUCCCAGACCGGCUGCAGUGCCUCGACCUCCCCCUGGUCUCCGACGACACCUGCCGUGCCGUGUACCCUGGGAGAAUCACGGACAACAUGGUGUGUGCGGGCGGCAUCGCUGGGCAGGAUGCCUGCCAGGUGAGCCUGUCACCCAGGACAGGAAGGGAGGGGGACAGACUGAAGCAGGAGGGUGACUGAGGGGAGACAGGGAGUCAGGGAGAGACGGCGGAAGAGACAGAUGGGGCCCAAAAGGAGAGAGACACAAAACAAGGGAGACAGAGGCAGAGAAUAGGAGGGAGGACCAGAAAAUGGAGAAGGAGGGGCAGAGAGGAUAGAGGGAGGGCGGCAGCAGAGGAGAGGUGGGGCAGGGGGCACAACGAGAGGGAGGGGUUGGGACAAGAACUGGCAGGGACAGGCAGCCACUGUCUCUGGGGCUCUAAGCCUUUCCCAUACCAGCCUGCAGCUGGUGCCGCCCCAGCUUGAGAGAGAGAUUUGAGGAUGGAGUCAGGACAGGGAGCCAGGGGACC